CAGAUCCAUCCUCCAUAGGUGAGGAUCCUGAUGUUCCUUCCAUGUCCGUUUCAACCUCCGAAGGUGUAGCAGGUCAUUCUACUUGUGGUCAUUGGGAUCUAUUACAUCUACUCCUUCAACUUUCAGCCUACCCUAUGGAUCAGAAGCUCCUCCAGUUGACCCAGUCGAGUGGUCAUCUAUUCUGUCUGACUCUGAAAGGACUGAUCUGGCAGAUGUAACCAGGAGGUUGUGGGUUUGUCAUGUCCGGCAGGAAUUGUCGGUGGGGGAAGUGAAUAACCAGCGCUCUUCCACCCUCAAUACCACGACUGAGGAGCGAUUUUGGAGGUGGGGCACAAUCAAUGCCGCUAGUGCUGCAGCUGAUACAGCAGUUCCAUACUCUGCAGGUGAGGAGCACUUACCAGCACCUACAUCCACUGAUCCUGCUGUUCCUUCCAUGUCCGUUUCAACCUCAACAGAUGUGGCAGGUCAUUCUAUUUGUGGUCAUUGGUGUCAAUGUCACAUGUACUCCCUUAGCAACUUUUAGCCUACACUAUGGAUCAGCAGCUGAUCUUUUGUUCUUUUGAAUCUGCAGUCUUUCUCUUCUUGCAGUCUUUGUCCUUAAUGUUUUACGCAAGGGCACGUGAGCAGUGUUUGUUUAUAAACUAAAUUUGAUUUGUGCUUGAUCCUUAAAUUUGAAAGGAAUUCAAAGCAUGGUUCUUUCAACAAAGGUUAAGAGACAGUCUCCCAGUUCAGUGUCCCGUUAUUUUACAUUUUCAUCUUACAUGUUCAGUUCAAUGGCUUGAAUCAAAGUCUUGCCGAUCAUUCUCCUUUUCUUCAUCCAGCUAAAGCUCUUGAAUGGUUUUUGUUUACAGUUUGAUUUUUUUUUCUGCUUUACGCAUUUUUGAAUGUCUAUUUCUUUAAUUUGACUGGCAAUUUGAGCACUUUUUGGCUCUCAAAUUGAGUCUGUUCAGACUCUACUAUUUUAUAUGUAUAUACGGGUCUUGUUUUUAAUGCAUCCGCUUGACUGCCCCUUAGUGGCCAAUUUGAGACCGCAGAAUCAUAUACUUUGUCCAUGAUUCAGUAUUUUUAAAAACUACUUGUUUCAAAAUGUUAUAGACAUUUACCUUAAGUUGUAAGAAGUGUCCAGUUUCAAACCAUUUAAAUCUCUUUAUACAAAUGGGUUAUUUGCAUGGCUUUUGGGUUUCACGUUUGUACAUCGCAAUCUCAACUUGUUGAACAAACUCCAUUUGUUCCGGUUAUGUGUCAUGUAAUUUCAUAAUCCUUUUAAAUUCUCUUCGGUAAAGAAAAUGCAGCAUCCAAACUGGCAAUCAGAUUUGCACUUCAUGCAGUUCCAAUGGGGGAAGUCUUUUGACUAAAGUCUAGUGGUUGUGUACAAUCUCUCUGCCAUUUCCAAGGAUUUGACAUGUAAAACCAAAAACUUGCAGUGUAACGUUUUAGGUUUCAUUGGUCGGGUUA